UACGGAGGGGGCUAGCGUUGUUCGGAAUUACUGGGCGUAAAGCGCACGUAGGCGGCUUCUUAAGUCAGGGGUGAAAUCCCGGAGCUCAACUCCGGAACUGCCUUUGAUACUGGCAAGCUAGAGUCCGGAAGAGGUAAGUGGAACUCCUAGUGUAGAGGUGGAAUUCGUAGAUAUUAGGAAGAACACCAGUGGCGAAGGCGGCUUACUGGUCCGGAACUGACGCUGAGGUGCGAAAGCGUGGGGAGCAAACGGG
rnacentral:rRNA from 1 species